CUCCAUAGCCCGCGCCCGCGUUCUUCCUCCCCCAUCUCGUCUCAUCUCCGGUUGCUGCAGAGGAGCCCAGUUUCGCGCCGCCACCAUGGUUGGCCUGCAGCGAGCAGCAGAGGACCUAGCCGCCGCGUCCGACCUCAACCGCCGCCCGAAACCCUAGCCCCUCCUUCCAACGGCAGGCCCGACUCAUCUCUGCUUGUGCACAACAAGGAAGGCCAUGGAGACGCUGCUCCCUAUGUUCAGCGCGUGGACGGACGAUGCAGCGUUGGGGAUGACUCAUGGCUGCCUCCGUUUGUGCAGGGGUAAGACUAGGUUCCUAUAAUCCCUCCCCAGACCCCAUCUUGUGUGGGAGCUUCUAUGCACUGGGUCUGUCCUUUUUUCUGAAGUCUGAACCAUCUGGAUGAUGAACUAUGUACUGUAAUUAUCCAUAUGAAGGUCAUCGGGCGUUUGGAAGAGAAGAGUGAUGCAUAUAUCAUCUCAGUUCAGGUCGCUGGAGUUGUUUGGUUUUUCUUCUCAUGUGGAUGCUCCAUACUGUAAACUACGCUCUGUACUUGGAGACAAUCACUAAGGCCUUUUUUGUACAAACUAAUCUAAGCUUUUUGUUCUUCUCAAGUAGCUAUUUUAUUUUGCUAAUUCUGUGUAUAGCUGCUAUUAAACAGAAGUCCUUUGAUGUCAGAUGCAAAGUUGAUGAAGUUUUUUUCUA